rnacentral:rRNA from 1 species
GGGACGAACGCUGGCGGCGUGCUUAACACAUGCAAGUCGAGCGGUAAGGCCCUUUCGGGGGUACACGAGCGGCGAACGGGUGAGUAACACGUGAGCAAUCUGCCCUUCACUUUGGGAUAACCUCCGGAAACGGUGGCUAAUACCGAAUGCGACCAUUCCCUGCAUGGGGUGAUGGUGGAAAGUUUUGGCGGUGGAGGAUGAGCUCGCGGCCUAUCAGCUUGUUGGUGAGGUAAUGGCUCACCAAGGCUUCGACGGGU